rnacentral:rRNA from 1 species
AGAGUUUGAUCAUGGCUCAGAACGAACGCUGGCGGCAUGCCUAACACAUGCAAGUCGAACGGGAUCCUAGCUUGCUAGGUGAGAGUGGCGCACGGGUGCGUAACGCGUGGGAAUCUGCCCUUGGGUUCGGAAUAACAGCGAGAAAUUGCUGCUAAUACCGGAUGAUGACGUAAGUCCAAAGAUUUAUCGCCCAAGGAUGAGCCCGCGUAGGAUUAGCUAGUUGGUGAGGUAAAGGCUCACCAAGGCGACGAUCCUUAGCUGGUCUGAGAGGAUGAUCAGCCACACUGGGACUGAGACACGGCCCAGACUCCUACGGGAGGCAGCAGUGGGGAAUAUUGGACAAUGGGCGAAAGCCUGAUCCAGCAAUGCCGCGUGAGUGAUGAAGGCCUUAGGGUUGUAAAGCUCUUUUACCCGGGAUGAUAAUGACAGUACCGGGAGAAUAAGCUCCGGCUAACUCCGUG